UAGGUAGCUUUUUACACUGGGAUUUUAACUUAUGCAGUUUUUCUUUCUCUGUAAAGUGGAGUUUCUGGCCAGAAUUAAUUAGAACAGCACUUUUGUGGCUUGUACAUGGACACUCAUCUUCAUUUCUUGGACUCUGAGCCUCAAUUUCUCAUUCAAGUGGAGAAAGCAUAUAACAAGAAUAUGCCCUACAACUCUGAACAGAUGCUGUCUAGAUCCAAGCAGGUCACCUACCCAAAUAAUGAAAAUGCACUAAAAAUGAAAGUCUCCAGGCCUAAAGCAAUGGGCGAUGAAGGCUCAGUGCAGCCUCUGCUGGCACUGUGCAACUGUCUCAGGAUGCCAUAAACCAGCGUCCCAGCUACCAGAGUCGGCAGGAGUCCAUGCCUCUGUUCAUCGUGGAAUUGGGUGGACAGUUAAACGCUUUCUGGAAUUCUUCAAAGUUACUAAUUGCACCAUUGACCCUGAAAAAAGAAAAUUUCUGUCAACCUAUAGGACUGAGUACAGGGGAGCAAACUCAAGUCCUGCAUCUCAUCCCUGAUGCCCAUUCCUCAGUCUACUCACAUGAGCAUAACUCAGGAAGAAGAGCUGGUUGUUGGUGAAUGUGAUGCCUGGUAGAAGAGGUUCCUCAACUCCCUGCCUUCUGUCAUUUAUCCAUUUCCUGUAAGCCUGGUGAGAGAAGAAGAAGAGAUGAGUCUCUGCAAUGGUGGGUUUUUCUCUUUUCUCAUCUAGCAUAGGAAUAGUA
rnacentral:lncRNA from 1 species